rnacentral:lncRNA from 1 species
CGAUUCGAUCGGAAUGGAUCUUGUACCGUACCCGCCGUUGGUAGUGAAGGGCGAUUUUCAUAAUCAGCCGUUUGAAGAUGAGACGUUUGAUUUGGAAUUUUCUAAUGUUUUUGAUCACGCUCUUUAUCCGGAGAAAUUUGUGUCGGAGAUCGAACGGACGUUGAAGGCCGGCGGGUUUUGUGUUUUGCACGUGGCGUUAUCUCCACGCGCUUUUUCCGGAUAAAUUUGUGUCGGAGAUCGAACGGACGUUGAAGGCCGGCGGGUUUUGUGUUUUGCACGUAGCGUUAUCAAGACGGGCUGAUAAGUAUUCGGCGAACGAUUUGUAUAGUGUUGAGCCGUUGAAGAAACUGUUUAAGCGGUCCGAGUUGGUUCAUACUCGAACCGUUGAUGGAUUCGGUUUGGAUACCGAAGUUGUUUUCAGGAAAAAGAGUUGAUUGAACCGGUUCGGAUAUUUUUUAUUUUUUCUGUUUUCCAGGUUG